rnacentral:tRNA from 1 species
GACUGCUCAGUUGGUUAGAGCGUGGUGCUGAGAACGGCAAGGUUGCAGGUUCAAUCCCUGUACGGGACAGCUGCA